UACGAAGGGGGCUAGCGUUGUUCGGAAUCACUGGGCGUAAAGGGCGCGUAGGCGGCUUUAUAAGUCGGGGGGUGAAAGCCUGUGGCUCAACCACAGAAUUGCCUUCGAUACUGUAGAGCUUGAGACCGGAAGAGGUAAGUGGAACUGCGAGUGUAGAGGUGAAAUUCGUAGAUAUUCGCAAGAACACCAGUGGCGAAGGCGGCUUACUGGUCCGGUUCUGACGCUGAGGCGCGAAAAGCGUGGGGAGCAAACAGG
rnacentral:rRNA from 1 species